AUGGAGUUGGUGAAGGGGACGGGCAUCCAUACCUGCUGGGCUGCGAGGGUCCUGUCAUGUGGAUCCACAGCAUUCCAAACACCUGUGUCUGUGAAGAUAAAAUUCAGCAGAAACACUCACAACAGAUGUACAACACUCCUUGCAGUGUUAUCAACAUUAGGCAGAGUAUCUGGCUACCGGCGCAAAUUAAGAGUGGUCCUUGAAUUAUGGAGAUGUGGUCUUGCACUAGUAAGUUUGCAGAGAAAUCCUCCACACACAUCAAGGCCACUCAAGAGUCUGUUAACUUGAGUGUUCUUCUUCCACUACUCCUUGCCAGGCCCGGAAAGAUGAUACAAAAUGAUACUGAUGAUACUUUUUUCCAAAUUAUGGUGGUCAUUUCCUUCUCUUUUUAAUUUAUAGCUGCCUCCGUUUCCUGUUUUAUUAUUUUAUUAUUAGCCUCUUGGACCUUAGGUUAAUAUCUUUCUUUUUUUUUAUUGUCUUUUUUAUUUUUUUUUUAUUUUUUUUGAAGUUGAAGGGAGAUGAGGUUGUGGUUUUUUUCUAUCCCACCUCAUCCUCAAGUUACUCACCAUCCUCAUUCAUUAUUUGUGGACUGUUUUAUAAUGAAUGACCAGGUACAAUGCACACGGCUGCUGAAGCCACCAUCAGCCCUGCCUUACAUAUCUCUGACCCACAUAGAGAUGCCUACAGUCCACUCUACAUCACAAGUGAAGAUGACCAUGACAGCUCGAUUUAAUAUAAUGAAAUUUACAAGUGGGUGGACCUUGGUGAAUUAGGAUGGAUGUUUACCGUGCCUACUCUCUGUAAUUGGGAAUGUGUAUAUAAUUAGGCAUAUCACAUCUUUUAUCUUUUAUGAGACAAUAUUUGUCCAUUUUACACAGUUAGCUGCAUCAUUAAGUGUACACUAAAGGGACAGUUUACCCUAAAAUAAAAUAAUUCACUCAUCUUCAUGUCAAACCUGUAUGGCUUUAAUUUUCUGCUGUGUGUGUGUGUGUGUGUGUGUGUGUUGUUUUUCUUAAUCCACAGAUUAAACCGAAAUGUAUAUUAAUUUCUCUUCCACAGAUUAAAUAGUCAUACAAAUUCAGUAUGACAUUACAUUUAAAGGGAUAGUUCACCCAAAAAUGUAAAUUAUGCAAUCAAUUAGUAACACAAUAACAUCAUUUUCAUUUUUGGGUGAACUAUCCAGCAGAACGUGGUGCUAGAAACAAAAGUUAAAGUAAUGGUUCACCCAAAAAUGCUAAUUGAUUCACCCUCAGGCCAUCCAAGAUCUUCUUCGGAGCAGAUUUAGAGAAAUUUAGCAUUACACCAAUGGAUCAUUAGAGUUCAAACAGCUAAUAAAAACAUCACAAUAAUAUACAAGUAAUCCACACAACUCCAGUCUAUUGAUUGAUUGAUUGUUUUGUGACUAAAGAAAUCCAAGAAAUCUUUAACACGAAACUGACUAAUAUAUGAAAAAGAACAAAUGGACUCUCAUUUAAUGUCAUUUUGUCUUUACUAGGAAUUACAAAGUUCUCAAUAUAAUACUCGGUACGACAUCCCUUGGUUCAAUAUGUACUUUUUUUUUAUAUGCCUACGUUUGUUUUUUGUUGGGGGUGGGGUGUGUUUAAAUAAUUUCCGGGGACUCCUUUUAUUUUUUUUUAUUUUUUUUUAAUUGGCUCUGCUUAUGUGCCUGUGUCUACGCACUUAGACGAGGAAACGCCUCCCUGUUUAUAAAGUACAUUGAACAAUGCUUCAUGCCGAGAAACCUGACAAACCUUGACAAACCUGAUGUCCAACAAAAGUGAACAUAUAACAUGUUUUAACUCUACAACAUCAGUCGAAUGUUUGAAAUAACUUCCUUUUGUGAUCUGAUGCAUCUUUUUACUGUAAAAUGUCGAUUUUCACUGGAUUAUAAUAUAAUUAUUAUGAAUAUACCCGAUAUGGCUUGAGUAACACAGGUAAACCAUAUAUUAUCAUAAUCCAGUGUUUACUAUCUUCAUGUUUUGUCAUUCAAAACAUUUUCUAUCUUUUUAAUCAGGACAGCGAUAGCUGGUUGUUGUUGUUUUUUUUGCCAUAUUAGGGAUUUCCUGGAACGUUGUUAGUUCUAUUAUUUCUGUUAUGCAUUUGUGAAGUUUCUCCGUGAAGGGGCACCAUUAUGAAUGCGUUCAACAAUGGCCAAUCCAUCCUAUUUUGGGUAAAAAUAAGAAAAUAAUAUUUUUCUCAAAAGAAAUUUGAACUAGACAUGAAAAUCCAUGCUUUUCUCCAAUCGUACAGAAGUGUUCAGGAGUUUAAUUUGUUUUAAAAAGCACAUUUUAAAUUGCAAAAAAAUAACAAUCUGAUGUACCAAAUGAUCAGAACCAAACUGUGGUUAAAAAACUGAGGUGUGUAAUGAACCAUGGACCAACAGUAUUGUUGCAUCUCUAAUCUUUUACUGCAGGUUCAUGUCUGUAUACUGUACAACUGAUCGUGCAUGAGCCGCUGUAGACAAAGAUGGCAGGUUUUAAAUCAAGUGCUUCAGGGAGGUCCUGUGCCAUCUGUGGCAGAGAUUGCCUUACUAUUGGGAGAUGAGAAGGUCUGUACUUACUAUUGGAGAAAGCGUAACAGCUAACUUGGAUCAUGUGUCCCUUAAUAACCAAUCACAUUAAAGCGUUGAUGUAAUUGAAUUUCAGUCAGAGUUUUACUAAACUCUAUCACCGUUUACGGAUCCCAUAGGAAUGAAUGAGAUGUGCUGUAAGCUGAAUCCCCAACAGCAUUUUUUUUUUCAUGGUAAACUCUAAAAGUAGUUCAAUCCAAAAGUAUUGUUUGGUGUAAAACAUGUUGAAGAUUAGCACAUAGGCUGUUGAUACAUUAAAUGAUAAGGCUUUCCCUCAUUGGCAUCCAUUAAAAAAAACAAACACCUUUUGGUCUCCUUUCCCACGUACUGCCAGAUCAAAAGAGUUAGCAUUAGCCGUUACACUUUUUUGACUAAUGGUUGCAGGUUUGCCGCCUUUGAUCUUUGGAUCUUCCUUUGAAAACAAUGGGACUGUAUACUUCAGGUUAUUAUGGACCUCAUUUUUUCACAACAAAUGAUAUGCCUGCUUGUGAAUUUUAUUUAUUAAUAUAUUUUGCCAAUUAAAAUUGGGUGGCCGGGCUUCAGUCUGGGUGUCCCAGUGCCACCCUGGCUCUUACGUGUCCUCAGUAGCUUAUAUCUUGCACACUGUGUUAACUCAUAGGUGUGACAGCACCACAUGGAGAAAGAACAGAUUUGUCUUCUUUACAACAAACACAGAAGAACAUCAAAUGCUGCAGAUUAUUAGCAGCACUUACCUUCCUUCCAAACAUUUGUCAAGAUUUCUACCCUUAUUUAGCCCUUUCUUCAAGCCGUUUCUUUAGGGAAAGCUCUGGGGAGUGUAGUUUUUGUCAUCUUUCCACAAAGUUUGACAGGCUGGAGGUUCUUGUUUGACAGGAGGAUGUAAAUGACUGUUGGAUUCCAGCUGGCCUGCAUCACACAGCCAGACGAUCAACAGACCGGGCUCAGAUGCUGACAUCGGGAGCUAGUUUCACCCUGCGCCGUUUACACUGACCAUCGCCAUGACCAUGUGGCAACAUA
rnacentral:lncRNA from 1 species